rnacentral:pre_miRNA from 1 species
CCCACUGAGCCAUCUCACCAGCCCCCUUUUUAAUUUUUUUAAUUAUUUAUGGGGUUGGUGAGAUGGCUCAGCAGU